rnacentral:rRNA from 1 species
AUUGAACGCUGGCGGCAGGCCUAACACAUGCAAGUCGAACGAGUGGCGGACGGGUGAGUAAUGUCUGGGAAACUGCCCGAUGGAGGGGGAUAACUACUGGAAACGGUAGCUUAUACCGCAUACCAUCGGAUGUGCCCAUAUGGGAUUAGCUAGUAGGUGGGGAAACGGCUCACCUAGGCGACGAUCCCUAGCUGGUCUGAGAGGAUGACCCGCCACAAUGGAACUGAGACACGGUCCACACUCAUACGGGAGGCAGCAAUGGGGAAUAUUGCACAAUGGGCGCAAGCCGGAUGCAGCCAUGCCGCGUGUAUGAAGAAGGCCUUCGGGUUGUAAAGUACUUUCAGCGAGGAGGCGUUACUCGCAGAAGAAGCACCGGCUAACUCCGUGCCAGCAGCCGCGGUAAUAC